rnacentral:lncRNA from 1 species
GAAGCCGGCCUCAAGUCCCUCGACGACUUCCUCGCCGGAAAAUCUUACAUCUCCGGGUAAUUUCUUCUUCUUCUUUUCCUUGGUUUUAUUCUUGUUUUUGGUAUAAAUACUAAAAUUGAUGAAUAAUUCAAAACCCUACCAGAGACCAGCUUACUCUGGAUGACAUAAAGGUGUACGCAGCGGUGUUGGGGAAGCCCGAUUCCUUUGCGAAUGUGAGCAAGUGGUACGACUGCGUUUCAUCCCAACUCGCCGCAAACUUCCCUGGCAAGGCAGUCGGAGUCAGAAUCGGAAGCGGCAAGGCUGCUGCUCCUGCUGCUCCUGCUGCAGCCGGAGGAGAUGACGACGACGACUUGGAUCUCUUCGGUGAUGAAACCGAGGAGGACAAGAAGGCAGAAGCAGAGAGGGAGGCAGCCAAAAAGGCAUCUACCAAGAAGAAGGAGAGCGGCAAAUCCUCUGUUCUUCUGGAUGUGAAGCCUUGGGAUGAUGAAACUGACAUGAAGAAGCUCGAAGAGGCUGUUCGCAGUGUGGAGAUGGAGGGUCUCUUCUGGGGAGCAUCAAAAUUGGUUGCAGUUGGUUAUGGGAUCAAGAAGUUGCAGAUCAUGCUCACCAUUGUCGAUGACCUUGUCUCCGUCGAUGACCUCAUUGAGGAGCAGCUUACUGCUGAGCCACGCAACG